AAUUUCACACCUGGAUGUGCUCACUCAACCACGAAUAUAGGGAAAGCGCUUCUGCCCUGAGCCGCAGAAAAAUACCCCGCACCGCUCGGGCUCGGCGUA
rfam:Gallus gallus BAC clone CH261-20A24 from chromosome unknown, complete sequence.